rnacentral:lncRNA from 1 species
AGAAAAGAUUGAUGGAUCCAAGAAUCCGGCUGAUAUGUUUACCAAGGUAGUGGGCAGAGAGAAGCAUGUUUUCUGUACUACUUGGGGUUUCUCCAAUGAACUAAGAAGGAGAAACACAGAGGCAGAUGCUGAAGCACUAGUUACUGAGAUUGUCUUCGAGAGGAAGAUUGUGAAGUGUGAAGACUAUAUUCACAAGUCGAGCUUGGUGAGCUAUAUUCUUCAAGUGGGAGAUUGUUAGUCAAAAAACAUGGUAGGCACCGGCCAGCUGAAAAAGGAGGAUGGUAGGCAUGGUAGGCACCGGCCAAUUGAUUGUCAAAAAUUGGUUGGUGGCCACCGAUUGUGUCCACAUUUGUGUGUAUUCUCAUUUGCACAUUGAUGGCUUUCCUCUCCUAUAAAUACUUGUGAGUAGCAAGCAAAGAAGAUCACACCACAAGAAGCUAAACA